AGGGGCAGCGUUGUCGGAUUAUUGGGCGUAAGGGCUCGCAGGCGGUUUCUUAAGUCUGAUGUGAAAGCCCCCGGCUCAACCGGGGAGGGUCAUUGGAAACUGGGAAACUUGAGUGCAGAAGAGGAGAGUGGAAUUCCACGUGUAGCGGUGAAAUGCGUAGAGAUGUGGAGGAACACCAGUGGCGAAGGCGACUCUCUGGUCUGUAACUGACGCUGAGGAGCGAAAGCGUGGGGAGCGAACAGGAUUAGAUACCCUGGUAGUCCACGCCGUAAACGAUGAGUGCUAAGUGUUAGGGGGUUUCCGCCCCUUAGUGCUGCAGCUAACGCAUUAAGCACUCCGCCUGGGGAGUACGGUCGCAAGACUGAAACUCAAGGAAUUUGACGGA
rnacentral:rRNA from 1 species